UUUCACUGUCACUGCUAUCACUGAAUGGUUCGAACUAAAUGUAACGCUGCCCAAACGACUCUCGGGACAAACAAUGAAGUUGUACCUAGCUGUACAGUUUCCGGAAAGCAGCACUACAACGCCCAUGAAUUUCGCAAUAAGCAGCAUCUGGUUUACGGGAGAAAAAGGGUAUGAAGUUCCAGUGCAAAGUGAUUCGACGCCACUUCCAG